CUGCCGUCAUGUAAGAAGUGCCUUUCACCACCCGCCAUGAUUCUGAGGCCUCCUCAACCAUGUGGAACUGGAAAGAGGCUGAGGUCCACGGAUAAAUGAUUUGGGAAGCUCACACUGCAGGGGUCUAAGCCAGCCCUGAACACCAAGAUGUUUCACUCUGGCCUCAGAGAAGAGUACUGUCUGACGCCCUGUGGGCACUGAGCAGGGCUAGGGUUGAAACCUUCAGGAGGCUAUGAAACCCCAUUGUUAGGUGAACUGUAACUCCGAUACCCAGACGGGUAAAUUUAGGUCUUAUUACUCUGCACUUCACUCAUGUUUCUGAAGUUUCUCUUCUGCCUUCCAAUGUGUAUGUCUAUCUUCCCCAUGAUCCUAAAAGGGCCUCAGCAGAAGAAUGUCCUCCCCUCCAUCUGGAAGGCUCCUGAAUCUAGGGAAGCUCUGUAGCCUCUCUGACCCCAACCCUUUCAAAGCCUCUAACGGCAGGGUACCAAGUGGGGAGCCAAGUUGACAGCUGAAGAAGAGCAAAUGGACACACCCUGAAAAUUCAGCUUGGGGUCCACUAUCACAGGACUUGGCUGUUCUUGCUGUGCGCCAGGAAGCCAGCCUUGGUCCCCUCUUCCUGGGCAGCAGUGGAGCCACUGGAUCCAAGACAUAGGUUCCAUCUCCCAUCUUCCUCUCCCCUUAAAGGCCCUUGGGUUGGAAUGACAUCAAGAAGAUGCUGACAUCUUAGGACAGAGAGAUGAAGUGGAACAGGCAAAGAUGGGGUAGAGUCACCUGAAUGGGGGAAUAAAGACAUUUAACUCUUCAACACAGGCACUGCACUAAAGGCUGGGGAUGUGAGAUGAAGGAGACCUGCUCCCUGACCUCACAGACCAGCAAAGAGAGAGACAGCUACAAGAACACAGAGGUCAGACUCAAAGGAGGGCAGGAAUCAUUCUGUGAGGGUAGAAAGCCAAGGAAGGUUUCUCAAGGAGAAUGAGGAGGUCCAUUAUUACAUAAUCACCAGGCAAACCAAGGGUAGCCCCAUUUGCUCUCCUGGCAGCUGAGCCCUCUCCAGGAAUUGCUUUUAGUCCAAGAGAGCUGCCUCACCCACUGACAUGGCCCCUUCCUGGAGGCAGCCCACAUCAAUAACUGGUCAAGAGGUAGAAGGUUAUAAACAUCCAGUUCCCUUGACUCAAGGCAGGACAACUGUGAAGGGUGUCUCAAUUCAAGAGCAACAUGGGGCCAACUAGGUGAUGCCUCUGCCACAACUGCCCAGCAGUCCAAUUUUCCCCUUGCUUAAUCUUGUUUGCCUAAUUCCUUCAAAGUUGUCCAUCCCACGAGCACUUGCCAGUGAACUACCUGUUCACAAAUUUCCAUCUCCAAGUCCAUUUCCCGUAUUUCCACCAUCUCAGCCAGGCACAAGGCACAGGCCAGAGGUUUUCAAGAACAGCAUCUCAGAAGGACACAAAUCGGACAUGUAAGUUACCUACAUUUUAAACAAGCAAAGCACUGAUUAUUUGUCAAAGAUGCAAGCUUUCUCCCAGAGCCCUCUGAAAGUUGUGUGAGUCCCUGAAGAAUCUACCUGGAAAAUUCCAUUGCCCCGAGGAGCUUUCUCAAAAUGUAUUCCUGCCACCUGCUUCCCUGCGUAUAAUCCUCGCUCUCCACAAGUCUGUUUAUCCAUAGACACAAAAUGUUAGAGCUGUCACCAGGAAUACAAAUGGGGAGAAAGCCACCCUCAAGCCAAUCAAUAAUGCUGGAGACGAAGCAACUGCAGCACUCUGCGGGUCAUAGAUUAUGAAGCACAAAGAAAGGAAACUCAACUCCUAGCAUUGUAUUGUAGCUGAUGGUCAGUAAGGAAAGCUCAUGUUCCAAUCUGAUUCUAUUUUAGCCACUUGGCAGAAAAUCAUCACUGAGGCACAAAUGAGAUGGCCUUGAAGGUGAAUAAAAAUCUUGGGUUCACUUUCCAAGACUUCAACAUCACAGAACUUUUCAGGAGCUCUGCCUCUCUGCAAGGCUUGCACGUCUAUUUACAAAGGCAAAAGCUUCUGUAAAGUACCUGGGUUACCAAAGCAGGCUGGGAGCUGAUAAUCCAAUUUGUUUUCCCUUCAAUAAAUCGUUCAUUAAUGUUGCUAAGAAAUUUACAGCUUAAAAUGGUUUUAUGACUAGAGAUUAAAAAAGAACCGUUCCAAUAAAUUUCAUAUAACUGAGAAGAUUCCUGUCAUUUUGAUUAAGUAGUUCCUUGUGAUGAUAAAGUUUUAUCUUGAAUAAUGAAGGGGGAAAGCAUUAAUCACUUUAAAG
rnacentral:lncRNA from 1 species